rnacentral:snRNA from 1 species
GGAUGUGAGGCCGAUCUGGCUGCAACAUAUGUUACCCCAUUGACUGCCAGGGUUGAUUCAGCUGAUCUGGCUGGCUAGGCGGGUGUGUCCCCUUCCUCCCUCACUGCUCUAUGUCCCUCCCGAAGCUGCACGCUCAGUCAAAGAGGAUGAAUAGAGACGGACAGAUCUUCAGUCAAGGGUAUACGAGUAGCUGCACUCCCCUACUAGAACCUCCAAACAAGCGCUCAAGGCCCCACCAAUAUGACAAUAGCUGUCUAUAAAUUAUUAUUACCAUAAUAUAAAAACAAAUUUUAAAAUAUAU